CGGAGACGCUGCGCGGUGUGGGUGCGCUUGGGCUUUAUUGGAGACGGGAGGGAGAAGGAGGCGAAGGCGGCCCCGUCCUCGCUCCGGCGCCGGUCCGCGGGCUCCGGCGUGAGGGCUCCGGCAUCAGCGGCGCUGGUUCAGCCCCGUCAGGGGAACUAUCGGUGGAACACAGGCAGACAAAAUAUCCGGGAAUAUAAAAUAUUCUAGACCUAAGCUGCACAGUUGUCACGUGUAAGAGAGCAUCAUACUGAUGCACAAGGAGCACAAACAGUGCACCCGGACUUCUCUGAUGGAGGAUCUUACAAUGAUAUUGGCAUUUGCGGGACAGCUAUGGCUGUGGAUGUGGAGCAAGGCUGAGAAAUGCUUAAGGAACUAUUCCACCAUAACUGCAGGUGGAGGGAGGUGAGAGAGAUUCUUCAGAAUUGCUUCAUACAGUGAAAAUGAUUUCUAAUUUAUAUUCCAGGUGGUUUGGCCUUCUUGUACUGGAAAUCACAAAAAAACAUGUAUUACUGAUAACAAGGGAAUCACUUUGUUGCUAACAUGCAAUGGGAGUUGUCCAAAACAUCAUCACAGUAGGGCAGCGAAGCUCUUAAAAAUAGUGUGUGGGUACACAAGGGACUGUUUUGUGUCCUACAGGAAGUGCAGCUACCUCAUGGACAUACAGAUGUCUGGGAUGAAUGAAUUCAUGAAGGACACUGCAGUCCCCUGAAACCAAAAGCAACUUCCCUGAGCAGGUCAUAGUUGUUCAGGUUGCAAUAUGGGCAGAAACACUGUCAGCCACCCUACAGUGGGCAGUGAGCUCCCCGGGAAGCCAGAGGGAACAGGAGCUUCCAUCUUUAUUUCCCACACAACCUUAUCACAGACUGCAGCUUGAGGAAGUGAUCCUGCUGUGUGGCUCAGGGAGAGGUGCCACCUCCUGUGUGUCCAUAAAUGCACAAACCUCCAGUCAAGAUCUCCAGGGAAGGGACUGGAAGAGGAAGAGGUCUAGUGACAAGUGAUGGAGAAUGGUGACAUUCCCUUAUUCUGACCACCUGCCUCUCAUUCCUAAAACUCAUUCUGCAGCUUUGGACUUAAUUUUAUGCUGUAUUACAAGUACCUUCAACACA